rnacentral:rRNA from 1 species
UACGAAGGGGGCUAGCGUUGUUCGGAAUUACUGGGCGUAAAGCGCGUGUAGGCGGGCCGUUAAGUCGGGGGUGAAAGCCCAGAGCUCAACUCUGGAAUUGCCUUCGAUACUGGCGGCCUGGACCCGAGUAGAGGCGAGUGGAAUUGCGAGUGUAGAGGUGAAAUUCGUAGAUAUUCGCAGGAACACCAGUGGCGAAGGCGACUCGCUGGACUCGUGGUGACGCUGAGACGCGAAAGCGUGGGGAGCAAACAGG